CAAAGCUCAAGUCUAUUUAACAACUGUAUUAUACUCUGUGCACAGAACAAAAUGUCAAUAAAAAUUUUUACUUGGUUUUACCUAUGUUUUAAAGAUCUAAGCAGAUAAUUUUUUCAAAGUUUAUCCACAUUUUCUGAAUCUUCUUAUAAAAGAAAAAUACCUUAUGCCUGCAUAAAUGAAAGGAGACCAAGAUUAUUGACUUAUUAAUUUAGCAAAUACAUCGCGAGCCCUUAUCCUCCACUAGGCAUUGUGCUAAAUACUAAGGAUAUAGUUGAUAAGAUACAUAAUCCUUUACCUCAUCAGGCUCUGCUCCUAGUGGGGAGACAAAAGGAAAGCAGAAAAAGAUGACAACACAAUGGGCUGAAAUGACCAUAAUACAGGUAUGUGCCAGGUACUGAGAGAGGAUGAAGGUUUCACGAAUGUAUUUGAAACCAAGACUUGAUAGGAAUUUUACUUUAACAGAAGAUAGUAGUGAGGGCUUGAACACUAAGGAAUUAAUGAGAGAUCAGCCCCUUUAGCGACUCAAAGCAUAUUAUAGCUCCAGCUGGCCAAAAAGAGAUGAAAUAAAUAAUAUAACAGGAACAACUGCAAGAGCAAGUGCAGCAUCAGGUUGGUGUAUUUCUUUUGAUCAAAAGGUCAAUUUGCAACUGCUCUUUGAAGAGCGUGCUGGUGACAGUGUGCAACCUUUGCAGUAGCUCCUGGACUGGCCUUAGGCUGCUUUCAAAUUAAACCAGCACUGUAAAGAAGAGAGUAAGUACCCUAAAUCUGAAUGAAGGAGCAUCUUAAUUCCAAUCCUGGCUCCACUGCUGACUAUAAGUAUGACCCUGGAUGAGUUACCUCUCUCAGUCUCAGUCUCCUCAUCCACAAAGCAGGGAUCACAAUAAAUGAAUAGCACCUUUCAAAGAA